UCUUUUGUAGCUCAGUGGUAGAGCACUUGACUGUUAAUUAAGGUGUCACUGGUUCAAACCCAGUCAAAAGAG
rnacentral:tRNA from 1 species